AAGCAGCUUAUAAAGAAUCAAGAGAGAUGCAUGUACUACAUAUUAAAAAGAUUGGUGGAACCAUGUGGUUUUCGAGCUUCAAUAAAAACACAAUGCUCAGACAUGAUUCUUAGUAUGUGCUAAAUUGCACUUUUGGCCUAUAACUUUCACAAAUUUGCGAUUUUGGCCGUCUAACUUUCAUAAUAGUACUUUUGGCCCCUCUAACUUUAGCUCAUUUUGCAAAAGGCUGUCCCUCAUUGAUUUUAACCAAGCCAACGCCCACCUGGACAGUGACUCUGACUCAUAUGUCACGUCGCAAGUCAACGCUCACAUGGACAGUAACUCAUGACAUGCUGACGUGGAAUUUGAGUCAAUGUCCACGUGUGCGUUGACUUUGUCAAAAUCAGUGGGGGCCAGCCUUUUGCAAAAAGGGAUAAAGUUAUGGGUCAAAAGUACAAUUUAAAGAUAAUUAAGAUGGGUGACCUUAAACCAUUGAGUUUCUCUUUGCAUUUG
rnacentral:lncRNA from 1 species